rnacentral:rRNA from 1 species
UACGGGGGGGGCAAGCGUUGUUCGGAAUUACUGGGCGUAAAGGGCUCGUAGGCGGCCAACUAAGUCAGACGUGAAAUCCCCAGGCUUAACCUGGGAACUGCGUCUGAUACUGGAUGGCUUGAAUUCGGGAGAGGGAUGCGGAAUUCCAGGUGUAGCGGUGAAAUGCGUAGAUAUCUGGAGGAAUGCCGGUGGCGAAGGCGGCAUCCUGGACCGAGAUUGACACUGAUGAGCGAAAGCCAGGGGAGCAAACGGG